rnacentral:lncRNA from 1 species
CUUCAACUUCAAAGCCUCAGCAUUCAUCUCAGCCAUCUUCUCCUCAUCAACAUCAUCAAUUUCUUCAUUAAUCUUCGCAACAGCCGAAUCAGAACCCAACUCAAUUUCCUCCGAACCCUCACUAACCGGUUCAGAACUUUUCUUCUUACUUUUUCUACUCCGUUUCGAUCGCUUCCUCUUUCUUCCACUAUCAUCGUAGCCAGAUUCAUCAUCAGUUUCACUCUCAUCUGAAUCACUACACCUUCUCUUCUUCCUGCUACUCUUCCUUCUCCUUCUACUACUCUUCCUUCUCCUCCUCCUCUUACGAUCUUCUUCUUCGGAAUUGGUAUCGCUAUCACUUUCACUAUACUUCCUACUCUUUCUCCUCUUCCUAUCUUCCA